GUACACUCCUACGGGAGGCAGCAGUGGGGAAUUUUGGACAAUGGGCGAAAGCCUGAUCCAGCAAUGCCGCGUGAGUGAAGAAGGCCUUCGGGUUGUAAAGCUCUUUUGUCAGGGAAGAAACGGUGAAAGCUAAUAUCUUUUGCUAAUGACGGUACCUGAAGAAUAAGCACCGGCUAACUACGUGCCAGCAGCCGCGGUAAUACGUAGGGUGCAAGCGUUAAUCGGAAUUACUGGGCGUAAAGCGUGCGCAGGCGGUUUUGUAAGUCUGAUGUGAAAUCCCCGGGCUCAACCUGGGAAUUGCAUUGGAGACUGCAAGGCUAGAAUCUGGCAGAGGGGGGUAGAAUUCCACGUGUAGCAGUGAAAUGCGUAGAUAUGUGGAGGAACACCGAUGGCGAAGGCAGCCCCCUGGGUCAAGAUUGACGCUCAUGCACGAAAGCGUGGGGAGCAAACAGGAUUAGAUACCUGGGUAGUCCC
rnacentral:rRNA from 1 species